rnacentral:rRNA from 1 species
CUCCCGGUGAUCCUGCCGGACCCGACUGCUAUCAGAGUGGGACUAAGCCAUGCGAGUCAACAUAGCAAUAUGUGGCAUACGGCUCAGUAACACGUAGUCAACAUGCCCAGGGGACGUGGAUAACCUCGGGAAACUGAGGAUAAACCGCGAUAGGUCAUCACUUCUGGAAUGGGUAAUGACUUAAAUCUAUAUGGCCCCUGGAUUGGACUGCGGCCGAUCAGGCUGUUGGUGAGGUAAUGGCCCACCAAACCUGUAACCGGUACGGGCUCUGAGAGGAGGAGCCCGGAGAUGGGCACUGAGACAAGGGCCCAGGCCCUAUGGGGCGCAGCAGGCGCGAAACCUCUGCAAUAGGCGAAAGCUUGACAGGGUUACUCUGAGUGAUUUCCGUUAAGGAGAUCUUUUGGCACCUCUAAAAAUGGUGCAGAAUAAGGGGUGGGCAAGUCUGGUGUCAGCCGCCGCGGUAAUACCAGCACCCCGAGUGGUCGGGACGUUUAUUGGGCCUAAAGCAUCCGUAGCCGGUUCUACAAGUCUUCCGUUAAAUCCACCUGCUUAACAGAUGGGCUGCGGAAGAUACUAUAGAGCUAGGAGGCGGGAGAGGCAAGCGGUACUCGAUGGGUAGGGGUAAAAUCCGUUGAUCCAUUGAAGACCACCAGUGGCGAAGGCGGCUUGCCAGAACGCGCUCGACGGUGAGGGAUGAAAGCUGGGGGAGCAAACCGGAUUAGAUACCCGGGUAGUCCCAGCUGUAAACGAUGCAGACUCGGUGAUGAGUUGGCUUAUUGCUAACUCAGUGCCGCAGGGAAGCCGUUAAGUUUGCCGCCUGGGGAGUACGGUCGCAAGACUGAAACUUAAAGGAAUUGGCGGGGGAGCC